GUAAAAUAUCAUGGGAUUUAAUCUUCAUAUCUCACUUUGACAAAGAGAGGACAAAUUAGAGAAGGUCAUUUUAACAGCACCAGAAAUACAUCUUCUGCCUCGGUGGAUGAUAAUUCAGUGAUUUACAGUUCUGCGAUUACCUUUCAUAAAACACCUUCAUCAUCAGUGAAUCCAAAAGCUGAUGUGAUCUACAGCUCUGUGAAAUAAACUCUCCCUGUGAGUUCUGAAUGAAGUUAUGAGAAAGUGGAAGCCAAUAACUGUAAAUAAUUGUGAAGUUUCAGUGCUUAACAUAUGUAAUACUGUGAAAGCAAACAUAACUUUGGGGGUUACUCACAGUAAAUGCAGUUUUGUUAGUUGCAAUGAAAUAGUUUUUUAAAAUAGGUAUAUAUUUAAUAUUACAUUUAAUUGUACUUUUAUUCGUUUCAAUUGCACAUAAAAAAAAAUUCUGCAUGAAAUAAUUUAUAUACCUUGCUUGCACACUUUUUAAAUAUAUUUCCUGUAUGUGAAGCGCCAUCUGCUGGACAUUUUUUUACCUCUACAUAAA